rnacentral:rRNA from 1 species
CUAGUAACGGCGAGUGAAGCGGCAACAGCUCAAAUUUGAAAUCUGGCCCCCGGGUCCGAGUUGUAAUUUGUAGAGGAUGCUUUUGGUGCGGUACCUUCCGAGUUCCCUGGAACGGGACGCCAUAGAGGGUGAGAGCCCCGUCUGGUUGGACGCCAAUCCUUUGUAAAGCUCCUUCAACGAGUCGAGUAGUUUGGGAAUGCUGCUCUAAAUGGGAGGUAUAUGUCUUCUAAAGCUAAAUAUUGGCCAGAGACCGAUAGCGCACAAGUAGAGUGAUCGAAAGAUGAAAAGCACUUUGAAAAGAGAGUUAAAAAGUACGUGAAAUUGUUGAAAGGGAAGCGCUCAUGACCAGACUUGGGCUUGGUUGAUCAUCCAGGGUUCUCCCUGGUGCACUCUUCCAGCCCAGGCCAGCAUCAGUUCGCUGUGGGGGAUAAAGGCUUCGGGAAUGUGGCUCCCUCGGGAGUGUUAUAGCCCGUUGUGUAAUACCCUGUGGUGGACUGAGGUUCGCGCAUUCGCAAGGAU